rnacentral:rRNA from 1 species
AUUGAACGCUGGCGGCAGGCCUAACACAUGCAAGUCGAGCGAGCGGCGGAUGGGUGAGUAAUGUAUGGGGACUGCCCGAUAGAGGGGGCUAACUACUGGAAACGGUAGCUAAUACCGCAUACUAUCGGAUAACCCAUAUGGGAUUAGCUAGUAGGUGAGGUACUGGCUGACCUAGGCGACGAUCCCUAGCUGGUCUGAGAGGAUGAUCAGCCACACUGGGACUGAGACACGGCCCAGACUCCUACGGAGGCAGCAGUGGGGAAUAUUGCACAAUGGGCGCAAGCCUGAUGCAGCCAUGCCGCGUGUGUGAAGAAGGCCCUAGGGUUGUAAAGUACUUUCAGUCGGGAGGCGUUACCGACAGAAGAAGCACCGGCUAACUCCGUGCCAGCAGCCGCGGUAAUAC